rnacentral:rRNA from 1 species
AGAGUUUGAUCCUGGCUCAGGAUGAACGCUGGCGGUAUGCUUAACACAUGCAAGUCGAACGGACACUUUCGGGUGUUAGUGGCGGACGGGUGAGUAAUGCGUAAGAAUCUAGCUUCAGGUCGGGGACAACAGUUGGAAACGACUGCUAAUACCGGAUAUGCGGAAACGUGAAAGUUUAAAUGCCUGAAGAAGAGCUUGCGUCCGAUUAGCUAGUUGGUGGGGUAAGGGCCUACCAAGGCACCGAUCGGUAACUGGUCUGAGAGGAUGAUCAGUCACACUGGAACUGAGACACGGUCCAGACUCCUACGGGAGGCAGCAGUGGGGAAUUUUCCGCAGUGGGCGAAAGCCUGACGGAGCAAUACCGCGUGAGGGAGGAAGGCUCUUGGGUUGUAAACCUCUUUUCUCAGGGAAGAAUAAUGACGGUACCUGAGGAAUAAGCAUCGGCUAACUCCGUGCCAGCAGCCGCGGUAAUACGGAGGAUGCAAGCGUUAUCCGGAAUGAUUGGGCGUAAAGCGUCCGCAGGUGGUUUUGUAUGUCUGCUGUUAAAGCGUGCGGCUUAACCGCAUAAGGGCGGUGGAAACUACAAGACUAGAGUACGUUCGGGGCAGAGGGAAUUCCCAGUGUAGCGGUGAAAUGCGUAGAGAUUGGGAAGAACAUCGGUGGCGAAGGCGCUCUGCUAGGCCUGUACUGACACUGAGGGACGAAAGCUAGGGGAGCGAAUGGGAUUAGAUACCCCAGUAGUCCUAGCCGUAAACGAUGGAUACUA